rnacentral:rRNA from 1 species
GGAAUAUUGCGCAAUGGGCGAAAGCCUGACGCAGCGACGCCGCGUGAGGGAUGACGGCCUUCGGGUUGUAAACCUCUGUCAGUGGGGAAGAGAACGGACGGUACCCGCUGAGGAAGCAUCGGCUUACUACGUGCCAGCAGCCGCGGUAAUACGUAGGAUGCGAGCGUUGUCCGGAAUUACUGGGCGUAAAGAGCUCGUAGGCGGAGAAGUACGUUUGGAAGUAAAUCUCACGGCUCAACCGUGAGCUCAUUCCGAAUACGGCUUUUCUUGAGGUCAGCAGGGGAGAAUGGAAUUCCCAGUGUAGCGGUGAAAUGCGUAGAUAUUGGGAAGAAUACCGGUGGCGAAGGCGAUUCUCUGGGCUGUCUCUGACGCUGAGGAGCGAAAGCGUGGGUAGCGAACG